rnacentral:rRNA from 1 species
GACGAACGCUGGCGGCGUGCUUAACACAUGCAAGUCGAACGGAAAGGCCCCUUUGGGGGUACUCGAGUGGCGAACGGGUGAGUAACACGUGAGUAACCUGCCCUUGACUUCGGGAUAACUUCAGGAAACUGGGGCUAAUACCGGAUAGGAAUCCUUUCUGCAUGGGGGGGGUUGGAAAGCUUCGGCGGGUUUGGAUGGACUCGCGGCUUAUUAGCGUGUUGGUGGGGUAGUGGCUUACCAAGGCUUUGAUGGGUAGCCGGCCUGAGAGGGCGACCGGCCACGGUGGGGCUGAGAGACGGUCCAGACUCCUAAGGGAGGCAGGAGUAGGGAAGGUGCCGAAAUGGGCGAAAUCCUGACGGAGCGACGCCGCCUGAGUGAUGAAGGUCGUCGGGUGGUAAGACUCUGUUAUUAGGGAAGAACAAAUGUGUAAGGGACUAUGCACGUGUUGACGGUACCUAAGCAGAAAGCCACGGCUAACUACGUG